UACGAAGGGUGCAAGCGUUAAUCGGAAUUACUGGGCGUAAAGGGUGCGUAGGCGGUUAUUUAAGUCUGCCGUGAAAUCCCCGGGCUCAACCUGGGAAUGGCGGUGGAUACUGGAUAGCUAGAGUGUGUCAGAGGAUGGUGGAAUUCCCGGUGUAGCGGUGAAAUGCGUAGAGAUCGGGAGGAACAUCAGUGGCGAAGGCGGCCAUCUGGGCCGGACCUGACGCUGAGACGCGAAGGCGUGGGGAGCGAACGGG
rnacentral:rRNA from 1 species